GGUUAAGCGACUAAGCGUACACGGUGGAUGCCUAGGCAGUCAGAGGCGAUGAAGGGCGUGCUAAUCUGCGAUAAGCGUCGGUAAGCUGAUAUGAAGCGUUAUACCCGACGAUACCCGAAUGGGGAAACCCAGUGUGUUUCGACACACUAUCAUGACAUGAAUACAUAGUGUCAUGAGGCGAACCGGGGGAACUGAAACAUCUCAGUACCCCGAGGAAAAGAAAUCAACCGAGAUUCCCCCAGUAGCGGCGAGCGAACGGGGAAGAGCCCAGAACCUGAAUCAGUUUGUGUGUUAGUGGAAGCGUCUGGAAAGUCGCACAGUAAAGGGUGAUAGUCCCGUACACAAAAAUGCACAGAUUGUGAGUUCGAUGAGUAGGGCGGGACACGUGACAUCCUGUCUGAAUAUGGGGGGACCAUCCUCCAAGGCUAAAUACUCCUGACUGACCGAUAGUGAACCAGUACCGUGAGGGAAAGGCGAAAAGAACCCCGGCGAGGGGAGUGAAAUAGAACCUGAAACCGUGUACGUACAAGCAGUGGGAGCCUACUAGUUAGGUGACUGCGUACCUUUUGUAUAAUGGGUCAGCGACUUAUAUUCUGUAGCAAGGUUAACCGUAUAGGGGAGCCGCAGGGAAACCGAGUCUUAACUGGGCGUUAAGUUGCAGGGUAUAGACCCGAAACCCGGUGAUCUAGCCAUGGGCAGGUUGAAGGUUGGGUAACACUAACUGGAGGACCGAACCGACUAAUGUUGAAAAAUUAGCGGAUGACUUGUGGCUGGGGGUGAAAGGCCAAUCAAACCGGGAGAUAGCUGGUUCUCCCCGAAAGCUAUUUAGGUAGCGCCUCGUGAAUUCAUCUUCGGGGGUAGAGCACUGUUUCGGCUAGGGGGUCAUCCCGACUUACCAACCCGAUGCAAACUACGAAUACCGAAGAAUGUUAUCACGGGAGACACACGGCGGGUGCUAACGUUCGUCGUGAAGAGGGAAACAACCCAGACCGCCAGCUAAGGUCCCAAAGUCAUGGUUAAGUGGGAAACGAUGUGGGAAGGCAUAGACAGCCAGGAUGUUGGCUUAGAAGCAGCCAUCAUUUAAAGAAAGCGUAAUAGCUCACUGGUCGAGUCGGCCUGCGCGGAAGAUGUAACGGGGCUAAACCAUGCACCGAAGCUGCGGCAGCGACACUUAGGUGUUGUUGGGUAGGGGAGCGUUCUGUAAGCCUGCGAAGGUGGCCUGUGAGGGCUGCUGGAGGUAUCAGAAGUGCGAAUGCUGACAUAAGUAACGAUAAUGCGGGUGAAAAACCCGCACGCCGGAAGACCAAGGGUUCCUGUCCAACGUUAAUCGGGGCAGGGUGAGUCGACCCCUAAGGCGAGGCUGAAAAGCGUAGUCGAUGGGAAACAGGUUAAUAUUCCUGUACUCGGUGUUACUGCGAAGGGGGGACGGAGAAAGCUAGGUUAUCCGGGCGACGGUUGUCCCGGUUUAAGCGUGAAGGUGGAUGACUUUGGUAAAUCCGGGUCAUCAUUAACACUGAGGCGUGAUGACGAGUCACUACGGUGAUGAAGUAACCGAUGCUACGCUUCCAGGAAAAGCCUCUAAGCUCCAGGUAACAUCAAAUCGUACCCCAAACCGACACAGGUGGUCAGGUAGAGAAUACUCAGGCGCUUGAGAGAACUCGGGUGAAGGAACUAGGCAAAAUGGUGCCGUAACUUCGGGAGAAGGCACGCUGAUGGUAGGUGAAGUGACUUGCUCAUGGAGCUGAAAUCAGUCGAAGAUACCAGCUGGCUGCAACUGUUUAAUAAAAACACAGCACUGUGCAAACACGAAAGUGGACGUAUACGGUGUGACGCCUGCCCGGUGCCGGAAGGUUAAUUGAUGGGGUCAGCCGCAAGGCGAAGCUCUUGAUCGAAGCCCCGGUAAACGGCGGCCGUAACUAUAACGGUCCUAAGGUAGCGAAAUUCCUUGUCGGGUAAGUUCCGACCUGCACGAAUGGCGUAAUGAUGGCCAGGCUGUCUCCACCCGAGACUCAGUGAAAUUGAACUCGCUGUGAAGAUGCAGUGUACCCGCGGCAAGACGGAAAGACCCCGUGAACCUUUACUAUAGCUUGACACUGAACCUUGAGCCUUGAUGUGUAGGAUAGGUGGGAGGCUUUGAAGCGUGGACGCCAGUCUGCGUGGAGCCAACCUUGAAAUACCACCCUUUAAUGUUUGAUGUUCUAACGUGGACCCGUAAUCCGGGUUGCGGACAGUGUCUGGUGGGUAGUUUGACUGGGGCGGUCUCCUCCCAAAGCGUAACGGAGGAGCACGAAGGUUAGCUAAUCCUGGUCGGACAUCAGGAGGUUAGUGCAAAGGCAUAAGCUAGCUUGACUGCGAGAGUGACAGCUCGAGCAGGUGCGAAAGCAGGUCUUAGUGAUCCGGUGGUUCUGAAUGGAAGGGCCAUCGCUCAACGGAUAAAAGGUACUCCGGGGAUAACAGGCUGAUACCGCCCAAGAGUUCAUAUCGACGGCGGUGUUUGGCACCUCGAUGUCGGCUCAUCACAUCCUGGGGCUGAAGUAGGUCCCAAGGGUAUGGCUGUUCGCCAUUUAAAGUGGUACGCGAGCUGGGUUUAGAACGUCGUGAGACAGUUCGGUCCCUAUCUGCCGUGGGCGUUGGAAGAUUGAGAGGGGUUGCUCCUAGUACGAGAGGACCGGAGUGAACGCACCACUGGUGUACGGGUUGUGAUGCCAAUUGCAUUGCCCGGUAGCUAAGUGCGGAAGAGAUAACCGCUGAAAGCAUCUAAGCGGGAAACUUGCCUCGAGAUGAGUCUUCCCUGGGCACUUGAUGCCCCUGAAGGGCCGUUGAAGACGACGACGUAGAUAGGCUGGGUGUGUAAGCGUAGCGAUACGUUGAGCUAACCAGUACUAAUGAACCCGAGAGGCUUAACCUU
rnacentral:rRNA from 1 species